rfam:Listeria bacteriophage P100, complete genome.
GCGGGUAUAGUAUAAGGGUAGUACCCAAGGUUUCCAACCAUGUAGUGGGGGUUCGAAUCCCCCUACCCGCU